rnacentral:rRNA from 1 species
AUUGAACGCUGGCGGCAUGCCUUACACAUGCAAGUCGAACGGCAGCGGGGACUUCGGUCCGCCGGCGAGUGGCGAACGGGUGAGUAAUGUAUCGGAACGUACCAUUGAGUGGGGGAUAACGUAGCGAAAGUUACGCUAAUACCGCAUAUUCUCUCCGGAGGAAAGCAGGGGACCGCAAGGCCUUGCGCUCUUUGAGCGGCCGAUAUCAGAUUAGCCAGUUGGUGAGGUAAAGGCUCACCAAGGCGACGAUCUGUAGCGGGUCUGAGAGGAUGAUCCGCCACACUGGAACUGAGACACGGUCCAGACUCCUACGGGAGGCAGCAGUGGGGAAUUUUGGACAAUGGGGGCAACCCUGAUCCAGCCAUGCCGCGUGAGUGAAGAAGGCCUUCGGGUUGUAAAGCUCUUUCGGCCGGGAAAAAAUCGCAUGGGCUAAUACCCUGUGUGGAUGAUGGUACCGGAAUAAGAAGCACCGGCUAACUACGUGCCAGCCGCCGCUGUAA